GAUGAACGCUGGCGGCGUGCCUAAUACAUGCAAGUCGAGCGAACGGACGAGAAGCUUGCUUCUCUGAUGUUAGCGGCGGACGGGUGAGUAACACGUGGAUAACCUACCUAUAAGACUGGGAUAACUUCGGGAAACCGGAGCUAAUACCGGAUAAUAUUUUGAACCGCAUGGUUCAAAAGUGAAAGACGGUCUUGCUGUCACUUAUAGAUGGAUCCGCGCUGCAUUAGCUAGUUGGUAAGGUAACGGCUUACCAAGGCAACGAUGCAUAGCCGACCUGAGAGGGUGAUCGGCCACACUGGAACUGAGACACGGUCCAGACUCCUACGGGAGGCAGCAGUAGGGAAUCUUCCGCAAUGGGCGAAAGCCUGACGGAGCAACGCCGCGUGAGUGAUGAAGGUCUUCGGAUCGUAAAACUCUGUUAUUAGGGAUGAACAUAUGUGUAAGUAACUGUGCACACCUUGACGGUACCUAAUCAGAAAGCCACGGCUAACUACGUG
rnacentral:rRNA from 1 species